rnacentral:rRNA from 1 species
GGGGAAUAUUGGACAAUGGACGAAAGUCUGAUCCAGCGACGCCGCGUGGAGGAAGAAGUCCUUCGGGAUGUAAACUCAUGAAGCUAACGAAUAAGACGGAAGGGGAACCUUCCGGGAGAAGGUAAUUAGUGAAAAGCCCCGGCUAACUACGUGCCAGCAGCCGCGGUAAUACGUAGGGGGCUAGCGUUAUCCGGAUUUACUGGGGUAAAGGGUGCGUAGGUGGUUUCUUAAGUCAGGAGUGAAAGGCUACGGCUCAACCGUAGUAAGCUCUUGAAACUGGGAAACUUGAGUGCAGGAGAGGAAAGUGGAGUUCUUAGUGUAGCGGUGAAAUGAGUAGAUAUUAGGAGGAAGACCAGUAGAGAAGGCGGCUUUCGGGACUGGAACUGACACUGAGGCACGAAAGCGUGGGGAGCAAACA